rnacentral:rRNA from 2 species
GCACAAGCGGUGGAGCAUGUGGUUUAAUUCGACGCAACGCGAAGAACCUUACCAGGGCUUGACAUCCCCUGACCGCGUAUGAAAGUACGUUUUCACCCUCGGGUGACAGGGAGACAGGUGGUGCAUGGUUGUCGUCAGCUCGUGUCGUGAGAUGUUGGGUUAAGUCCCGCAACGAGCGCAACCCCUACGUUUAGUUGCUAACGCGUGAAGGCGAGCACUCUAGACGAACUGCCGUUGACAAAACGGAGGAAGGUGGGAUGACGUCAAAUCAUCAUGCCCCUUAUGUUCUGGGCUACACACGUGCUACAAUGGCCGGUACAGACGGACGCAAAGCCGCGAGGUGGAGCAAAUCCUAAAAAGCCGGUCUCAGUUCGGAUUGCAGGCUGCAAUUCGCCUGCAUGAAGUCGGAAUCGCUAGUAAUCGCAGGUCAGCAUACUGCGGUGAAUACGUUCCCGGGCCUU